CGUGUCUGUACCACCAAACACUCGAACGAUGAAAGACAUGGGUAGUGAGACGUCGGAGCCUCGUCGUAUCACUAUUCUGUUUUUCGCCGGUCUUGUGAUAUACCAUGUGUCAGAUUUACG
rnacentral:pre_miRNA from 1 species